rnacentral:piRNA from 1 species
UCCAACAUGGCGGGCAUGCACAUCUCAAC